CUACGGGUUGCUCCAGUGGGGAAUAUUGCACAAUGGGCGCAAGCCUGAUGCAGCCAUGCCGCGUGUAUGAAGAAGGCCUUCGGGUUGUAAAGUACUUUCAGCGGGGAGGAAGGGAGUAAAGUUAAUACCUUUGCUCAUUGACGUUACCCGCAGAAGAAGCACCGGCUAACCCCGUGCCAGCAGCCGCGGCAAUACGGAGGGUGCAAGCGUUCAUCGGAAUUACUGGGCGUACAGCGCACGCAGGCGGUUUGUUAAGUCAGAUGUGAAAUCCCCGGGCUCAACCUGGGAACUGCAUCUGAUACUGGCAAGCUUGAGUCUCGUAGAGGGGGGUAGAAUUCCAGGUGUAGCGGUGAAAUGCGUAGAGAUCUGGAGGAAUACCGGUGGCGAAGGCGGCCCCCUGGACGAAGACUGACGCUCAGGUGCGAAAGCGUGGGGAGCAAACAGGAUUAGAUACCCCCGUAGUC
rnacentral:rRNA from 1 species